rfam:Homo sapiens chromosome 5, GRCh38 reference primary assembly.
GCCAGGCGUGGUGGCGUGCGCCUGUAAUCCCAGCUACUUGGGAGGCUGAGGCAGGAGAAUUGCUUUAGCCCAGGAGGCGGAGGCUGUAGUGAGCUGAGAUUGUGCCACUGCACUCCAGCCUGGGUGACAGAGCAAGACUCUGUCUCAA